GUGCCAGCCGCCGCGGUAAUACGAAGGGUGCAAGCGUUAAUCGGAAUUACUGGGCGUAAAGCGUGCGUAGGCGGUUUCUUAAGUCCGUUGUGAAAGCCCUGGGCUCAACCUGGGAACUGCGAUGGAUACUGAGGAGCUGGAGUACGGUAGAGGAAGGUGGAAUUCCCGGUGUAGCGGUGAAAUGCGUAGAGAUCGGGAGGAACAUCAGUGGCGAAGGCGGCCUUCUGGACCAGUACUGACGCUGAGGCACGAAAGCGUGGGGAGCAAACAGGAUUAGAUACCCGCGUAGUCC
rnacentral:rRNA from 1 species